AGAACAGCAAUAGGAAAGUGAAGGAGCAUCCACGGAUACAUCUCACACUGCUCAAGGACCAGGGUGGCUCACCGCAAUCUAUUCUGACUAGCAGCAGCUCCUUAGUGUCUAAGACAGACAACAUACGAUGCUGAAACAAUAUUCCACCAAAACAUUUGAAAGAACUUCUGGUGGGUCAACUCAUCUAUUUCAUCUUUCAAAUCACAAGAAGCCAAUAUUUUAUCCAUUAAUUCUCUCUGCUGUCAAGAGCUGGAGGAGGAAAAGGCCACAGCAAAGACUACUGCACCAGAGAGGAUGACAGAAAAAACCAUUCCCAUGAUAAUAGAUCACUGACUUUCAACUAUGGGACCAUGAACUACUAUUGAGUUGCAUUCUGUAACGGAUCAGCCUACCUUACAAGGUUAGUGUACAGGUAAUUUUUUGGGAUUUAACCUCAGCACUCUAAACUAACUAUAUAGUCUCAAAUAUAGUUCUCAGUCUUUCUUCCCUGCAGGCUUUAACUAUACUCCUCAAAGGAAAAAACCCACAGAUCUCAAACCUAUAUCUAUUUUCACACUUCAAAAACCAACCCCCUAACUGAAAAAGAAUUCUUGGGCUGCAUAGCUCCAACUGUCACUUUGGCUCUGCCCAUCUCCAGUUGCUAAGCAACUCUCCUCAUUUACAUCAGCCAGUCAUACUGCAUUUCCAGUAAUGGCUGCCUGAUCGCUCCUCCCCCCCUGCUCUGCUCAGCUUUUGUCAACUACCUGUACACUAAGCUAGUAAGGUAGGUUGAUCUGUUACACAUUUGAACUAAGGUAGACUGCAACCCCAAUUUGCAUGUUGGACCAGGGCUCCAGACUAAUGCUCAACUUCCACUUGGUCAUGAAAACUCACUUAGAGAAGUCACACUUGCUCAACUUCAGAGGAAGGCAAUGGCAAGCCCCCUCUGAAUAAAUCUUGCCAAGAAAAUCCCUUGAUAGGUUCACCAUA
rnacentral:lncRNA from 1 species